rnacentral:misc_RNA from 1 species
CGAAAGCGUUUUUUAACAGCGCAAAACCCACUGUGAACAUACCUGUUUGUUGCUUCGGCAGGCGGCCCCAGGGCGGGGCCAGCCAGCCUGUAUUUUUUUCAGGCGCCUGCCGGAGGCCACUUCAAACUCUUUUGUAUACGUACUGUCUGAGCCUAAAACAAAAUACGUUA